rnacentral:rRNA from 1 species
GACGAACGCUGGCGGCGUGCUUAACACAUGCAAGUCGAACGAAGUGGCGAACGGGUGAGUAACGCGUAAUUAACCUGCCCUUCAGAGGGGGACAACAGUUGGAAACGACUGCUAAUACCGCAUACUGAAGGAGGGGAUGGCGUCUGAUUAGCUAGGUGGAGGGGUAACGGCCCACCAAGGCGAUGAUCAGUAGCCGGUCUGAGAGGAUGAACGGCCACAUUGGGAGUGGGACACGGCCCAGACUCCUACGGGAGGCAGCAGUGGGGAAUCUUCGGAAAUGGACGAAAGUCGUACCGAGCAACGCCGCGUGAGUGAAGAAGGUUUUCGGAUCGUAAAACUCUGUUGUUAGAGAAGCGGUAUCUAACCAGAAAGCCACGGCUAACUACGUGCCAGCAGCCGCGGUAAUAC